AGUGAACGCUGGCGGUAGGCCUAACACAUACAAGUCGAACGGCAGCACAGUAAGAGCUUGCUCUUACGGGUGGCGAGUGGCGGACGGGUGAGGAAUACAUCGGAAUCUACUUUUUCGUGGGGGAUAACGUAGGGAAACUUACGCUAAUACCGCAUACGACCUACGGGUGAAAGCAGGGGAUCUUCGGACCUUGCGCGAUUGAAUGAGCCGAUGUCGGAUUAGCUGGUUGGCGGGGUAAAGGCCCACCAAGGCGACGAUCCGUAGCUGGUCUGAGAGGAUGACCGGCAACAUUGGACUUGGGCAACGGUCCAGACCCCUCCGGGAGGCAGCGGUGGGGAUUAUUGGAAAAUGGGCGCAAGCCUGAUCCAGCCAUACCGCGUGGGUGAAGAAGGCCUUCGGGUUGUAAAGCCCUUUUGUUGGGAAAGAAAAGCAGCAGGUUAAUACCCCGCUGUUCUGCCGGUACCCAAAGAAUAAGCACCGGCUACCUUCGU
rnacentral:rRNA from 1 species